rnacentral:rRNA from 1 species
UACGUAGGUGGCAAGCGUUGUUCGGAAUUAUUGGGCGUAAAGGGCGCGUAGGCGGUUCGUUAAGUCCUGUGUGAAAUCCCCCGGCUCAACUGGGGAACUGCACAGGAAACUAGCGGGCUUGAGUUCGGGAGAGGGAAGCGGAAUUCCGGGUGUAGCGGUGAAAUGCGUAGAUAUCCGGAGGAACACCGGUGGCGAAGGCGGCUUCCUGGACCGACACUGACGCUGAGGCGCGAAAGCUAGGGGAGCAAACGGG